GUCUAUGGCCAUACCACCCUGAACAAACCCAAUGUCUGAUCUCGGAAGCUAAGCAGGGUUGGGCCUGGUUAGUACUUUGAUGGGAGACCACCCAGGAAGACCAGGUGCUGCAGGCA
rnacentral:rRNA from 1 species